AUUGAACGCUGGCGGCAGGCCUAACACAUGCAAGUCGAACGAGUGGCGGACGGGUGAGUCAUGUCUGGGAAACUGCCUGAUGGAGGGGGAUACCUACUGGAAACGGUAGCUAAUACCGCAUACCAUCAGAUGUGCCCAGAUGGGCUUAGCUAGUUGGUGGGGUAACGGCUCACCAAGGCGAGGAUCCCUAGCUGGUCUGAGAGGAUGACCAGCCACACUGGAACUGAGACACGGUCCAGACUCCUACGGGAGGCAGCAGUUGGGAAUAGUGCACAAUGGGCGCAAGCAUGAUUCAGCCAUGCCGAGUGUAUGGAGGAGGCCUUCGGGUUGUAAAGUACUUUCAGCGGGGAGGCGUUACCCGCAGAAGAAGCACCGGCUAACUCCGUGCCAGCAGCCGCGGUAAUAC
rnacentral:rRNA from 1 species